UACGGGGGGGGCAAGCGUUGUUCGGAAUUACUGGGCGUAAAGGGCUCGUAGGCGGCCAACUAAGUCAGACGUGAAAUCCCUCAGCUUAACUGGGGAACUGCGUCUGAUACUGGAUGGCUAGGGUGUGGGAGAGGGAUGCGGAAUUCCAGGUGUAGCGGUGAAAUGCGUAGAUAUCUGGAGGAACACCGGUGGCGAAGGCGGCAUCCUGGACCACGACUGACGCUGAGUGAGCGAAAGCCAGGGGAGCAAACGGG
rnacentral:rRNA from 1 species